GAUGAACGCUGGCGGCGUGCUUAACACAUGCAAGUCGAACGAUGAAGCUGGAGCUUGCUCUGGUGGAUUAGUGGCGAACGGGUGAGUAACACGUGAGCAACCUGCCCCUGACUCUGGGAUAACAGCCGGAAACGGCUGCUAAUACCGGAUAUGCACCAUGAACGCAUGUUCUGUGGUGGGAAAGAUUUUUCGGUUGGGGAUGGGCUCGCGGCCUAUCAGCUUGUUGGUGAGGUAAUGGCUCACCAAGGCGUCGACGGGUAGCCGGCCUGAGAGGGUGACCGGCCACACUGGGACUGAGAAACGGCCCAGACUCCUACGGGAGGCAGCAGUGGGGAAUAUUGCACAAUGGGCGAAAGCCUGAUGCAGCAACGCCGCGUGAGGGAUGACGGCCUUCGGGUUGUAAACCUCUUUUAGCAGGGAAGAAGCGAGAGUGACGGUACCUGCAGAAAAAGCGCCGGCUAACUACGUG
rnacentral:rRNA from 1 species